GUCCGCUUUUUUAUGACUGCUGCAGACCUAUCGACGGGUCUGUUCCAGACCAGACCUGUGGACAAGUCUGCUUUUGACCAGUCCUGAGGACAGGUCUGCCCCAGACCAGACCUGUGGACAGGUCUGCUCCUGACCAGACCUGUGGACAGGUCUGCUUCUGACCAGACCUGUGGACAGGUCUGCUUCUGACCAGACCUGUGGACAAGUCUGCUAUUGACCAG
rnacentral:lncRNA from 1 species